rnacentral:rRNA from 1 species
UAAACGACUCUCGGCAACGGAUAUCUCGGCUCUCGCAUCGAUGAAGAACGUAGCGAAAUGCGAUACUUGGUGUGAAUUGCAGAAUCCCGUGAACCAUCGAGUCUUUGAACGCAAGUUGCGCCCGAGGCUUCUAGCUGAGGGCACGUCUGCCUGGGCGUCACGC